CACUCGUGGAUUGCAUCCUUAGCUUGAUCUUAACUGUUCGUUUUAUCUAUACCACUAUAUAGAAGCUAUAAUCAUGGAAUCUUGCUUCAUUGAUGAUGUUGGACUUUAAUUCUUGGAUUUGAAUAGGACCCAUUGAAUAUUAAUCUUUUUUUAUCAGAUAAUAGUCGUAUUCAUAAAAAAAUCAUCUAUUCAAUAAAAAUUUUAUACAUAGCCUAGACAGCAUAGAAUCCAACAUGAACGAUUCUGAUCAUUAUUUAAAAUGCGAACCGGCGGUGAAAACCAGACACCGUACCAUACUGUGGUAUGGAUCCUACCGUAGCAAAACACCCUCCUCGGCAUUUAAUAACGCCCGCGGCCAAAUCCCAAGCUCAAUCAAGUUGUGGUGAGGUAAGGAGGGAGAGGUAAAGAGAGAGAGAGUGAGAGAGAGAGAGAUGGAAGGAACUUCAACAACAAUAACAGAAGAACCAACAGUCAAGAGAAGAUCCCACCCGUGCAAUUGCCUUGACUUAGCUAAGGCCUUACUUGGGUGCUUGUGCCUUGAUUUCUUCUUCAAACUCUCUUCACCAGAAGAGCCACAGAAAAACGUUGAAGACACAUCCACUCCAGUCGAUGCAGUCAUGACAAAUGAUCCACCCGUAUCAAAUGAUGUAACACCCACAUCAGCAGAUCCACCCAUGUCAAAUGAUGAUACAUCCACGUCAGUAGAUCCAUCCAUGCUUCCAGAUGAUACAUCCAUGCCAAAUGAUCCAUCAUCCAUGUUGUUGAGAAGGCCUCAAAGGCCAGUCAUAGAACCAGGGAGAGGUGGUCAGAUCAACUAGAGAUAUGUAGAGAGAGAGAAAGGAAAUGUUAUUUCAUUGCUGUUGGUGUGUUGAGAAUGUGUAUCAUGUAAUCGUGUUAUGUAGAUGUGUGCAUGCACACGUGUGCCUUUUUAUUUUAGCGGGUGUUUGGAUUGAGAGUAUAUGGAAAUGAAUAGGGAUUUCUAUUUCCUUGGA